rnacentral:lncRNA from 1 species
UGAUUAAGUGAUUAGUUUUCUCGUUAAACCAGCAAUUUAACUUUCAAAUUACCUGGUACAGCAGUAACUACAUCAGCGUCACCUGGUAUCUGCAAUAGCACUUCUUGACACUACAAUAGAUUUUACCUUUAUCUUAAUGUCUUUACCUCCUAAGUUAUUACUUGUCUUGGAAAUAACUGGAUGAAAUCUUGUGAAAAGUAUUUAGCAGGGGCCCAAUCUAACGCACUUCAUCCUAUCGCCUGAACGCCAUCCAGUUUCUCCUUCACAACUUCCAACAGUCACAUCCCGAAGUUCAGGGGCAACAUCCUUCGAGACGUUGGCAGUGCUCACGGCACUACAGUCACUUUAAAUUUGAAAAAAAAAACUUUGGGUUGUCGGGAACUUCGCGAACACCGUGAGUCGUUUAAUGACUCCCAUCUGCUCAAAAGAUGCAUGGAAUCGUGAACACCAUCUAUCGUCUGCAACUAACACUAUAUGGUCAAGGAAUUGAAAAUGAAACAGGACCAACCAAUCGACUGUGCUGUGCGAGGCGCUAAAUUCGUAUCUGUAUUCAGCCACUGACAAUAUGGGCAAGGAGAGAGGGGGAGGUUGAUGCAAAAUGUACAUUAAAAAACCAAGGCGACGGUAUUGCCACAUACCGUUGCCAAAUAUAAGAAACGGAAGGAGAAGGAUCUUGUUAGUGUUUAUUCCAUGGCAAAUAUCAACUUGGAAACCCUCAAAGUGGCUAAAUCUGUUUCUCUUGUUCACGUACUCGAAAUAUAUGUGAGAAAGUAAAACAACCAAAACAUUCAGAAUAAUUCAAGAAAGCGUCGAGAAUAGCGUGCUUCGAAAGAAGUAGUUACCACCUCUGACGACUGAUUGCGUGCAUGGCAAUUAUGGCAGAAGUACAGCUUAUUUUUCUCCGUUAUUAUCUGAAACUUCCGAAUCGCCCUUCUACAGACGAACGAACGUUUCGAUCUGCUCGUCCACAUUGCAUAUCGUUACCUCAGCACCGAUAACACAUCAAGUCUCGUGUAGUGAAGAAUAAAAGCCUACCACUCUUUGGAGAAAAACCGUAAGGGUAAAAUACACAAAAGAAGACAAUUAAGUUAUUGCUGUCAGCUCGGUUUCACGAAUUUGAGAGAAGACAUAUAUGAAGAAAAAUCAUGAGACUCGACUGCUUUUGCUUGGAAGCCAAUACAGACACAAAGAAAGCUUAUGGGAAAAUGGAAGAAUGUGGGAAAUAAGGUGGCUGGCGCUGGCUGCAAAUGCCAAUGAAUAAAGAAGUGGGAAGUGGCAGAUUUAGGUAAACACAAGCUGUGUUCCACAGUUGGAAAAAAAAAACUGGUUUGCUACUUUCCACAAGCGCGUCAAACGAAUUUGUUGAAAAUAAAUUAAGACAAAGAGAUGAGAGAAAAAAAAAAUCUCUCAUCAUACAGAUCCUUUCUGAUGCGCGCACUGGAUGUCGUCUUCGGUCUGAGUUUCUUCUCCUUUUUUUUUGUUCUCACCGAGAUAUAUUUAAAAUGUAUGUAAAGAAGUGAAAAACUCCCGCAACCAAAAAAAAAAAAAAAAAAAAAAGAGAAUAGUCAACAAUCCAAUUAGUGUUGGUAUUUCCAGUUCGACAACAAAGAAAAAAAAAAGAAGGCCAAAGAGAGAACGGAGACAGAGGGAUAUCAACUCUAAUAGAGCCAACUUAAAAAAAGCCAAAGAUAACAGAUGAAGAAAGAAAAUGGCGUGUUUGUUUUUUACGCAAAAAGAUUAAAA